UACGUAGGGUGCAAGCGUUAAUCGGAAUUACUGGGCGUAAAGCGUGCGCAGGCGGUUAUGUAAGACAGAUGUGAAAUGCCCGGGCUUAACCUGGGAACUGCAUUUGUGACUGCAUGGCUAGAGUUUGGCAGAGGGGGGUAGAAUUCCACGUGUAGCAGUGAAAUGCGUAGAUAUGUGGAGGAACACCGAUGGCGAAGGCAGCCCCCUGGGUCAAGACUGACGCUCAUG
rnacentral:rRNA from 1 species